UCAAACUUGGUCAUUUAGAGGAAGUAAAAGUCGUAACAAGGUUUCCGUAGGUGAACCUGCGGAAGGAUCAUUAUUGAAAAACAUUGCAAAGAAGGGUUGAGCUGGUUCUUCUAGAGCAAGUGCUUGCCUUUCUUUCAAUCUUCAUCCACCUGUGCACUUUUUGUAGAAAGUCUGGAGAAAAUGGACCUUGUAACAGAGGUCUUCAGUAUCGGGGCUUUCUAUGUUUUUAACACACUCUUGAUGUAUGUUAUUGAAUGUCUUUUACGAGGGACUUGAUUGACCCUUUUAAAAAAACUAUACAACUUUCAGCAACGGAUCUCUUGGCUCUCGCAUCGAUGAAGAACGCAGC
rnacentral:misc_RNA from 1 species